GGGUUGUGAGGUUAAGCGACUAAGCGUACACGGUGGAUGCCCUGGCAGUCAGAGGCGAUGAAGGACGUGCUAAUCUGCGAUAAGCGUCGGUAAGGUGAUAUGAACCGUUAUAACCGGCGAUUUCCGAAUGGGGAAACCCAGUGUGUUUCGACACACUAUCAUUAACUGAAUCCAUAGGUUAAUGAGGCGAACCGGGGGAACUGAAACAUCUAAGUACCCCGAGGAAAAGAAAUCAACCGAGAUUCCCCCAGUAGCGGCGAGCGAACGGGGAGGAGCCCAGAGCCUGAAUCAGUGUGUGUGUUAGUGGAAGCGUCUGGAAAGGCGCGCGAUACAGGGUGACAGCCCCGUACACAAAAAUGCACAUGCUGUGAGCUCGAUGAGUAGGGCGGGACACGUGGUAUCCUGUCUGAAUAUGGGGGGACCAUCCUCCAAGGCUAAAUACUCCUGACUGACCGAUAGUGAACCAGUACCGUGAGGGAAAGGCGAAAAGAACCCCGGCGAGGGGAGUGAAAAAGAACCUGAAACCGUGUACGUACAAGCAGUGGGAGCCUCUUUUAUGGGGUGACUGCGUACCUUUUGUA
rnacentral:rRNA from 1 species